rnacentral:sRNA from 110 species
UUGACAAUCUUAUCGUGAAGGCAUACUUUCAGGAGUGAGGGUAGAGCGGGGUUUCCCCCGCCCUGGUAGUCUUAGUAAGCCGGGAAGCUUAUGACUAAGAGCACCACGAUGAUGAUCCACUUCAUCAUGACCCUUUCCUUAUU